rnacentral:tRNA from 1 species
UCCCUGGUGGCUCAGAGGUUAAAGCGUCUGCCUGCAAUGCAGGAGACCUGGGUUCGAUCUCUGGGUGAGGAA